rnacentral:rRNA from 1 species
GCGAACUUGGCAGAGAUGCCUUGGUGCCUUCGGGAACGCUGAGACAGGUGCUGCAUGGCUGUCGUCAGCUCGUGUUGUGAAAUGUUGGGUUAAGUCCCGAACGAGCGCAACCCUUAUCCUUUGUUGCCAGCGAUUCGGUCGGGAACUCAAAGGAGACUGCCGGUGAUAAACCGGAGGAAGGUGGGGAUGACGUCAAGUCAUCAUGGCCCUUACGAGUAGGGCUACACACGUGCUACAAUGGCGCAUACAAAGAGAAGCGACCUCGCGAGAGCAAGCGGACCUCAUAAAGUGCGUCGUAGUCCGGAUCGGAGUCUGCAACUCGACUCCGUGAAGUCGGAAUCGCUAGUAAUCGUGGAUCAGAAUGCCACGGUGAAUACGUUCCCGGGCCUUGUACACACCGCCCGUCACACCAUGGGAGUGGGUUGCAAAAGAAGUAGGUAGCUUAACCUUCGGGAGGGCGCUUACCACUUUGUGAUUCAUGACUGGGGUGAAGUCGUAACAAGGUAAGCGUAGCGAG